rnacentral:rRNA from 1 species
UCGGAACAUAUCCGUAAGUGGGGGAUAACGUAGAGAAAUUUACGCUAAUACCGCAUAUUCCCUGAGGGGGAAAGGAGGGAAUUCGCAAGAACCUUUCGCUGACGGAGUGGCCGAUAUCGGAUUACCUAGUAGGUGAGGUAAAGGCUCACCUAGGCGACGAUCCGUAGCGGGUCUGAGAGGAUGAUCCGCCCCACUGGAACUGAGACACGGUCCAGACUCGUAGGGGAGGCAGCAGUGGGGAAUUUUGGGACAAUGGGCGAAAAGCCUGAUCCAACCCUUACCGCGUGAGUGAAGAAGGCCUUUCGGGGUUGUAAAGCUCUUUUCAGCCGGGAAAGAAAUCCUGCUUACUAAUACUAAGUGGGGAUGACGGUACCGGAAGAAAAAUCUUCCGGCUACUACGUGCCACCAGCCCGCGGGAAUACGUAGGGGUGCGAGCGUUAAUCGGAAUUACUGGGGCGUAAACCGUGCGCCAGGGGGGUUUUAUAAGCCCAAUGUGAAAUUCCCCGGGCUUAACCUUGGGGAACUGGCUUU